rnacentral:rRNA from 1 species
AUUGAACGCUGGCGGCAGGCCUAACACAUGCAAGUCGAACGAGUGGCGGACGGGUGAGUAAUGUCUGGGAAACUGCCUGAUGGAGGGGGAUAACUACUGGAAACGGUAGCUAAUACCGCAUACCAUCAGAUGGGCCCAGAUGGGUUUAGCUUGUGGGUUGGGUAAAGGCUCACAAAGGCGACGCUCCCUAGCUGGUCUGAGAGGAUGACCAGCCACACUGGAGAGUAUACACGGUCCAUACUCCUACGGGAGGCAGCAGUGUGGAAUAUUGCACAAUGGGCGCAAGCCUGAUGCAGCCAUGCCGCGUGUAUGAAGAAGUCCUUCGGGUUGUAAAGUACUUUCAGCGGGGAGGCGUUACCCGCAGAAGAAGCACCGGCUAACUCCGUGCCAGCAGCCGCGGUAAUAC